rnacentral:rRNA from 1 species
GCUUAACACAUGCAAGUCGAGCGAGGCCCACCGGGUGGCAACACCUGGUGGUUCCUAGCGGCGAACGGGUGAGUAACACGUGGGUAACCUACCCCUGACUUCGGGAUAACCCCGGGAAACCGGGGCUAAUACCGAAUAUGAGGCUCCCUCGCAUGGGGGAACCUGGAAAGGGUUCACCGGUCAGGGAUGGGCCCGCGGCCUAUCAGCUUGUUGGUGGGGUAAGAGCCCACCAAGGCGACGACGGGUAGCCGGCCUGAGAGGGUGUCCGGCCACACUGGGACUGAGACACGGCCCAGACUCCUACGGGAGGCAGCAGUGGGGAAUCUUGCGCAAUGGGCGAAAGCCUGACGCAGCGACGCCGCGUGAGGGAUGAAGGCCCUCGGGUUGUAAACCUCUUUCAGCAGGGACGAAGCGGAAGUGACGGUACCUGCAGAAGAAGCCCCGGCCAACUACGUGCCAGCAGCCGCAGUAACAC